ensembl:antisense Gm16136 predicted gene 16136
UGAAGGUGUGUGAGAGCGCCCGAGAUGGCAGAACAAGAGCUACAGGGGCAGGGUAGAGGUGAUGGGAGAGACGGAGCGGGGAGCGCCACUACAGACACUAGGUACUGUGGGUCAAACCGAAGGACGACAGAAUGCUGAACCCAGAAAUCAACAAGCCCACCCGGAACCAAAUGGCCAGUUCACCACCUGCCACUUGACACUCGCGGGACGAAAACUGUGUGGCGGGCAGAAGAGUCAGGGAACUAGAGUUACGCUAUGCUGAGUGGGAAAGGAACGGAUUGCCGGGUCUCUUGCGUAAUUGCAUUGUUAGCAUUCUUAUCCACAACAAACUCUUCUCCUGCUCUGAUGCAUAGAAGAUAGCAGGUCGUUUUCAGUUUUCAACUAGUCGAGCGACCUUUCCUGAACUGGAUCUAUGAAGUGCGGCAUGGCUUUAAUGGAGAAGGGAGAUUCGGUUGAAUAGACUCUUAAGGUGGCCCGGGCGCAUCGAUUGCAUCUCUCCGCAGCCUGGGAUUCCUGCGCUGCGGAACAACUACUGCAUCUGUUCCAUAAGCCUGUCGCCCGUUGACAUUUCUAGGCAAGCAUCAACAUUUACAUUGUAAUUCAAUAGAAGCAGCUACUACAAAGGCUCUUUAUCCUUGCAGUUUAAUAUGGUUGCCAGGGGAACAACGCAGGAUGAAAGUGACUUGUUUGUGUGGGUUCUCUUCUGGUCCGGAACAGUGCGAAGUAGCCAGGUGUCAUUUAUAAUCGCUGCUACGAGAAUUAAGUAUUUGUGGGAGUUCUGACAGGGAUCUAGCCCAUACAUGAGCGUGGUGGAAAUACAGGAGGGUAUGGAAAGCUUUGCCACAUUUAUGUCAAGUCAACACUGGAGCACUGGAGUUGUCAAACUUGACACAACUUCUGUAUUAAACCUUUGCAGGUCACAUGAUUUUGGGGAA